GACGAACGCUGGCGGCGUGCUUAACACAUGCAAGUCGAACGGUGAAGCGCUUUCCCUUUUGGUUGGUGUGGAUGAGUGGCGAACGGGUGAGUAACACGUGAGUAACCUGCCCCCUUCUUCUGGAUAACCGCAUGAAAGUGUGGCUAAUACGGGAUAUUCUGCGCCUGCUGCAUGGUGGGUGUGGGAAAGAUUGUGCCUUUGGGUGUUUUCGGUGGGGGAUGGGCUCGCGGCCUAUCAGCUUGUUGGUGGGGUGAUGGCCUACCAAGGCGGUGACGGGUAGCCGGCCUGAGAGGGUGGACGGUCACACUGGGACUGAGACACGGCCCAGACUCCUACGGGAGGCAGCAGUGGGGAAUAUUGCACAAUGGGCGCAAGCCUGAUGCAGCGACGCCGCGUGAGGGAUGGAGGCCUUCGGGUUGUGAACCUCUUUCGCCAGUGAAGCAGGCCUGCUCCUUGUGGGUGGGUUGACGGUAGCUGGAGAAGAAGCGCCGGCUAACUACGUG
rnacentral:rRNA from 1 species